rnacentral:rRNA from 1 species
CAGUCGCCACGGGAAUACAGAGGAUGCAAGCGUUAUCCGGAAUGAUUGGGUGUAAAGCGUCUGUAGGUGGCUUUUCAAGUCCGCCGUCAAAUCCCAGGGCUCAACCCGAAGCCUGCACGAGAAACUACCGGGCUUGAGUAUUGGAGAGGUGAGUGGAAUUUCCGGUGUAGCGGUGAAAUGCGUAGAUAUCGGAAGGAACACCUGUGGCGAAAGCGGCUCACUGGACAAUAACUGACGCUGAUGCACGAAAGCUAGGGGAGCAAACAGGAUUAGAUACCCCUGUAGUCCCUGUCUCUUAUAC